UACCUGGUUGAUCCUGCCAGUAGUCAUAUGCUUGUCUCAGAGACUAAGCCAUGCACGUCUAAGUACAAACUAAAUGAUGGUGAAACUGCAAAUGGCUCAUUACAACGGUUAUGAUGUACCCGGGAGUUCCGAUGGAUAUUUCCAGUAACACUAGAACUAAUACAUGCUCCUGCGUUUAUUAGUUUCGCACAGUCCGUCGCUGAGUCAUGGUAAACAGUUGAUCGACUCGACGUCCCGGAACAGUUUCCGCCCCAUCAGCUUCGAUGGUUGGGUAUUGGCCUACCAUUGCAACAACGGGUAACGAGGAAUUAGGGUUUGAUUUCGGAGAGGGAGCCUGAGAAACGGCUACCACAUCUACGGAUGGCAGCAGGCGCGCAAAUUACCCAAUGCAGACACUGUGAGGUAGUGACGAGAAAUAAUAAAGCGGGACUUCUGUUUCGCUAUUAUAAUGAGGAAUAACCAAAGGUCAUUCCGAUUAGCAACUGAUGGGAAAGUCUGGUGCCAGCAGCCGCGGUAAUACCAGCGUCAGUAGCAUAUAUUAAAAUUGUUGCAGUUAAAACGUCCGUAGUCUGUACGUCGUCCCAAACUCACUGCAGUCUUCCGUUUUCUUCAUUGAAUGCGGUAGUUUCUGCAGUCACUCCCUUGAUCAAUUAGUUGUUCAAGGUAGACCAAGUCUUCAUAUUUUCACAUGGAAUUGGUGAGGGACUUAGAGUUUAAGUUUCUCGUCUUAGGAUCAUCCGGGGUCAUUCGUACUCGUCCGCGAGAGUUGAAAUUCUUGGACCGACGAAGACGACCAGCAGCGGAAGCAUCUGUCAGGGAUUUUUCUGCGACAAAGGACGAAGGUCAGGGUAUCGAAGACGAUUAGAUACCGUCGUAGUCCUGACUGUAAACUAUGCCAACUUGGGUCUGCUGGGCGAUGCUUUGUGAGACCCACACAGAAAUGAAAGUGUAUGGGUUCUGGGGGUAGUAUGGACACAAGUCUGAAACUUGAAGGAAUUGGCGGAAGAGCACCAUAAGACGUGGAGCUUGCGGCUUAAUUUGACUCAACGCGGGAAAACUUACCAGGUCAAGACAUGGGCGUGAUUGACAGGCUAAUGACUUUUCUCGAUUCCAUGGAUGGUGGUGCAUGGUCGCACUUAGUUGGUGCAGUGAUUUGUCAGGUUUAUUCCGGUAACGAACGAGACCUCGGCCUUGUAAAUAGCUAUGCUGCUUACAGGGACAUUGGUGGCUACACCAAGGAAGCUCGAGGCAAUUGCAGAUCUGGAAUGCCCUUAGAUGUCCUGGGUCGCACGCGUGCUACAAUGACGCCACGAACGAGUUUGCGUGAUGAAAGUCACGCAUAAUCAGCAGUCGGCGUCUUAAGGGAUAGUCUCUUGUAACUGUGGGACUCCAACUAGGAAUGUCUCGUAAGCACAAGUCAACAUCUUGUGUUGAUUACGUCCCUGCUCUUUGUACACACCGCCCGUCGCUCCUACCGAUCGAGUGUUUAGGUGAAAUUGAUAGACGUAAGGAAGUCAAUUAAAUCUGGACACUUAGAGGAAGGAGAAGUCGCAACAAGGUUUCCGUAGGUGAACCUGCAGAAGGAUC
rnacentral:rRNA from 1 species